rnacentral:rRNA from 1 species
UACAGAGGUCCCAAGCGUUGUUCGGAUUCACUGGGCGUAAAGGGUGCGUAGGUGGUCGGGUAAGUCUGAUGUGAAAUCUCCGAGCUCAACUCGGAAAUGGCAUUGGAUACUACUUGGCUAGAGGGUUGGAGGGGGGACUGGAAUACUUGGUGUAGCAGUGAAAUGCGUAGAUAUCAAGUGGAACACCAGUGGCGAAGGCGAGUCCCUGGACAACUCCUGACACUGAGGCACGAAAGCUAGGGGAGCAAACAGG